rnacentral:rRNA from 1 species
UGGGGAAUUUUGGACAAUGGGCGAAAGCCUGAUCCAGCAAUGCCGCGUGUGUGAAGAAGGCCUUCGGGUUGUAAAGCACUUUUGUCCGGAAAGAAAUCCUUGGCUCUAAUACAGUCGGGGGAUGACGGUACCGGAAGAAUAAGCACCGGCUAACUACGUGCCAGCAGCCGCGGUAAUACGUAGGGUGCAAGCGUUAAUCGGAAUUACUGGGCGUAAAGCGUGCGCAGGCGGUUUGCUAAGACCGAUGUGAAAUCCCCGGGCUCAACCUGGGAACUGCAUUGGUGACUGGCAGGCUAGAGUAUGGCAGAGGGGGGUAGAAUUCCACGUGUAGCAGUGAAAUGCGUAGAGAUGUGGAGGAAUACCGAUGGCGAAGGCAGCCCCCUGGCAAGUACUGACGCUCAUGCACGAAAGCGUGGGGAGCAAACNGGAUUAAUNCCCUGGUAGUCCACGCCCUAAAGAUGUCAACUAGUUGUUGGGGAUUCAUCUCCUUAGUAACGUAGCUAACGCGUGAAG